rnacentral:sRNA from 1 species
AAAGACACGCUAUUUAAAUACAGAUCCAACUUAGAAAUAAUGUUUCAUUCAAGAUAAGGCUCGUGGUUUAGGAGAUUGUGACCUGGCUUGCAUCAUUCUAAGACUUCUAUCGUCUGUUUUCAAAACCCAAGGAGGACCUCAUUUUCUGUGUGAUAGUUCCUCAUGCUUUGCCAGCCACUGGGUCUUUAAGGAAGCUUGCCAAGAGUUCCCGGCUGGGAAGGACAGUUCGAGUUCAUCAUAGACAAUGAGCUGGCACCACAGUUUAAGUGACUCACCAACCUGGUUGCCCACUUCAAAAUGUCAAGAACCACACUAUCUAAUUGAAAGAACUGUGUUUUAGCAAAGUGUAAUUGGAUCGCCUGGCAAGAUCAUCUCAAACUAUGUCUCUGACCUUGCCUUUCAGUGGCUAUUUUGAGCACAAGAGGAGAAAGGAAAUGAUUCCUGAAUUAUAUCUUGUUUUUAAAAAUUAAGAUUAAUUAAUACUUGGUUUUAUGUUCAUUCCAUUGUGGGAACUUAGUGAUUAUUACAAAACAGUCAAAAUAGGUCAUAGCAAAAUGAACCUUUAAGAUUAGGUUAAAACAUUCCUCUGAAAUUUUAGUAUUCACUUUUGAAGUGUCAAUUACUAUAUUUCUGUAAUUUCUCAUUUUUUUCUUGGCUUAGAGUCAAGAUGAAAAAUGAUAUUUGAAUCAAAG